GCCCGAGUGGUGGAAUGGCAGACACGGAGGUCUCAAAAACCUCUGGGGAAACCCGUGCGAGUUCGACCCUCGCCUCGGGCACCA
rnacentral:tRNA from 1 species